AAAGUUUGUAGAGAAACAUGA
rnacentral:snRNA from 1 species